rnacentral:rRNA from 1 species
GACGAACGCUGGCGGCGUGCUUAACACAUGCAAGUCGAACGGAAAGGCCCUGCUUUUGUGGGGUGCUCGAGUGGCGAACGGGUGAGUAACACGUGAGUAACCUGCCCUUGACUUUGGGAUAACUUCAGGAAACUGGGGCUAAUACCGGAUAGGAGCUCUUGCUGCAUGGUGGGGGUUGGAAAGUUUCGGCGGUUGGGGAUGGACUCGCGGCUUAUCAGCUUGUUGGUGGGGUAGUGGCUUACCAAGGCUUUGACGGGUAGCCGGCCUGAGAGGGUGACCGGCCACCAUGGGACUGAGAUACGGACCAGACUCCUACGGUAGGCAGCAGUGGGGAAUAUUGCACAAUGGGCGGGAGCCUGAUGCAGCAACGCCGCGUGCGGGAUGACGGCCUUCGGGUUGUAAACCGCUUUCGCCUGUGACGAAGCGUGAGUGACGGUAAUGGGUAAAGAAGCACCGGCUAACUACGUG